AGAGGUGCAUAUGGAGAAGUUCAACUAGGCCACCAUACUUUCCCAUGAGCCUUUGUUACUUCCAAAGAACUACAAUUCCCAGCAUUCCAGGAAGUUACGUAGUUCCGGGGCCGAGGAGGUUUCCAGGUUAAUUUUGAGAAUUUCAGAUACAAACUCGCCACUUGGAUUUCAGGAGGAAGAAGAGGAAGUGUGUACUGGGUGCUCCGAGGAACGCUCGGGCCAGGUCCGAAGCUCGACAUGGCCUCCACAUGCUAAGCCAAAUCUGCAUGAGUGUAAAUCAAGACUAAAAGCUCUGGAUGGUAAAGAUCGAGAAGACUCUAAAAAAGAUCAAGGACAUGUUAAGCUUCAAGGACGUGGCUUUGGACUUCUCGCUGGAGGAAUGGGAAUGUCUCAGUUUUGCUCAGAGGACAUUGUACAUGGAUGUGAUGUUGGAGAAUUAUGACAAUCUGUUGUUUGUGGAAAAUCACCACACAUGUGGAAAAUAUGGGAAGGUAUUGGAAGAAGACAUACAUCAUGUUGUCCAUGAGCAUGGGCUUAUCCAAGAGAAGUCUUCUAAAUGUAACGAGCUUAGCAAUAUGAUUCAUGAAUCCUCCCAAAGUACAUCAUAUAAAACUUACCACAGAGAUGCCACUCUUCAAUCCUCAAACCUAAAAAGACAGAAAACUGGGACCACUAAAGAAUUUUGCUCAUGUGAAGACUGCGUAAACUAUUUAAAGGGGUGUUCUAUCAUUAGUCUCAAUGAAGGAAUCCAUAUAGAGAAGAAAGAACAAAAUCAACAUAAAGAACUUGAUAAGAAUUUGCUGUCUAAACAUAAGCUCAUGGUGAAACAAAGUAAUAGUGAAAUGAACACUUGCAAUUGUGGUGAAGUUGACAACUGCUUUACACAGACAGAUGAUCUCCAAAGUCAGCAGAAAGUUUGUCCAGGAAAGAAAUCUUAUAUAUAUAGCGAAAGUGACAAAUGCUUUAUGCAUCAAUUGUGUCUUGGUAUCCAGCAGAGAAUUCAUACACGAGAGAAACUUUAUAAAUGCAGUGAAUGUGACAAAUGCUUUGCCCAACAAUCCUAUCUUAGUAUUCAUCAGAGAAUUCAUUCAGGAGAGAAACCUUACAAAUGUAAUGAAUGUGACAAAUGCUUUAUUGACAAAGGCAAACUGAGAAGGCAUCAGAGAAUUCAUUCAGGAGAGAAACCUUACAAAUGUAAUGAAUGUGACAAAUGCUUUACUGACAAAGCCAAUCUGAGAGUUCAUCAGAGAAUUCAUUCAGGAGAGAAACCUUACAAAUGUAGUGAAUGUGACAAACUCUUUACUGAGAAAGGCAGUCUGAUAAUUCAUCAGAGAAUUCAUACAGGAGAGAAACCUUAUAAAUGUAGUGAAUGUGACAAAUGCUUUGUCCAACAAUCCCAUCUUAGUAUUCAUCAGAGAAUUCAUUCAGGAGAGAAACCUUACAAAUGUAAUGAAUGUGACAAAUGCUUUAUUGGGAAAGGCAGUUUGAGAAUUCAUCAGAGAAUUCAUUCAGGAGAGAAACCUUACAAAUGUAAUGAAUGUGACAAAUGCUUUACUAAGAAAGGCAGUUUGAGAAUUCAUCAGAGAAUUCAUACAGGAGAGAAACCUUACAAAUGCAGUGAAUGUGACAAAUGCUUUACUCGGAAAGGCAAUUUGAGAAUUCAUCAGAGAAUUCAUUCAGGAGAGAAACCUUACAAAUGUAAUGAAUGUGACAAAUGCUUUACUAACAAAGGCGGUCUGAGAAUUCAUCAGAGAAUUCAUACAGGAGAGAAACCUUACAAAUGCAGUGAAUGUGACAAAUGCUUUAUUAACAAAGCCAAUCUGAGAAUUCAUCAGAUAAUUCAUACAGGAGAGAAACCUUACAAAUGCAGUGAAUGUGACAAACUCUUUGCUCAGAAAGGCGGUCUGAGAAUUCAUCAGAGAAUUCAUACAGGAGAGAAACCUUACAAAUGCAAUGAAUGUGACAAAUACUUUUCCUACAAUGUUAGUCUGAGAAUUCAUCAGAGAAUUCAUACAGGAGAAAAGUUUACAAAAAUGCUGUGAAUGUUACAAAAGUGUUACCCACAAAUCAGUCUUAGGAAUUAACAGAGAUUUCAAAUAGUAGAGAAACUUUAUAAAUGAAGUGAAUGAGAUUAUCAUUUGCCAUGAAAUAUCAUCUUAUGAUUCAUUGGAGUAUACUUACAGCAGAGAAACUUUUCAAAUAUAUCGAAGGUGUGAAUCUUUUCUUUUGGCCUGUCCCUUUGAAUAUAGCAGAUAAUAUAUACAGGCAAGAAUCUUAACAAAUAUAAUAUAUGAUGAAAUAUCUUUGAAUUCAUUUCAGUUCCAAGAAAAUGUGUAAAAUUAUAUGUGGGACAGUAGUUCUCUUGGGAAAAUUGUGGCAUAUGUUUUAUUAAGGGUAUAUUCUCUGCAACACUUCUUAAGACACCACACUAGAGAAAUAUUAUGCUAUGGAUAACUUUUGAAAACCUUUAUGCAGCGUUCAAAUCUUAGAUGAUGUCAACUUUUUAUUGCUGGAGAAAUUCUGAAUAUAUGAUAAUGUAGGAAAGUUUUUAUUAAAGUUUUAUUUGUUCGUCCUUAAAUAUUGCAAGAUGAGCACAUGUGGCGAAGCCAGAAGAAUAUAAUGUUGUGUAAAAAUUCAUGAAGAUGGACAUCAUCCAUUUGAAAGGGAAACUAAUUAAGUUGUGCAAUAUAGCCUUCAAAAUUUCUAAUAAAACUGGCAGCAUUCUGUAUGUUUUUUUCAAAGGAAGAAACUCACAUAAAUUUUACUUGAAAGAGUAUUUGAGAGAGAGCAGACCUUGGGCGCAAGCUCUGCAGCCAAUACCACAACACCCAGAGGAAGCUGCACUCCCAGGCACUCUGACACACCCUGGAUCAGAGGUGGUCACCUGGGACAAAAGAGCUUCUGCAGACUAUCAGCUUAUCUCUGAAAGAAGCUGCCUGAGAGGUUCACACUGAGAUACAACUACGCCUUCAACGAAGCCUACUGCCUGAGGACAUUCCAGACAUCAGAGAAGCAGGUGACCUUCCCUAGUGACUCCCUCUUGAUUCCCUCCUGACUCUUUCCUGACUCCUCCCUCAAUGUUUAUAUUAUGAAUACAUUUUAUUUCUGGA